UACGAAGGGGGCGAGCGUUGUUCGGAAUUACUGGGCGUAAAGGCGCGUAGGCGGCCGAUCAAGUCAGAUGUGAAAGUCCUGGGCUUAACCUGGGGACUGCAUUUGAUACUGAUUGGCUUGAAUUCGGGAGAGGAUAGCGGAAUUCCCAGUGUAGAGGUGAAAUUCGUAGAUAUUGGGAAGAACACCGGUGGCGAAGGCGGCUAUCUGGACCGACAUUGACGCGUGAUGGCGCGAAAGCGUGGGAGCAACAGG
rnacentral:rRNA from 1 species